ACACGGAUAUCCCUAUAAGGCGAUAGAAUGUUCGAUUCCAUUUUUAUAUAUAAACUUAAAAUCAUUUUUUCUUGGUUUAUAGACAUGUUAUAUUUAUAGGAAAUGGAUUUUAUAAGUGCAAUCACUGUAUAUACGAUAAUCUGUCUUCAGAGUCGAUGUAUUAAUCCAAAGAACCGCUGAGAACGUCGUCAAACUCCGUGGCCGGGCGGUUCAUAGGGCGAAUCAUCCAUGUGAAGUUGGCAUAAUACACGCAGGUCUUCAUUGGCAAAGAAAUGGUAUCAACAUGGCUGUGAGAAGAUCAUUAUAUGGAAGAGACCACUUUGGAUACAGAAUUGCGUGCAGCCCUGUUUGGACAUAAACAAACAGCGUAGACAACAGAUGGUGGGCCAUUCGAGAGCUGUUAUGGUGCAGUAUUGAGGUGAUCAGACAUUACGUGAGCGUUGAAUUACAGAAAGUCCUGCAACAGUUGGUUGGCGUAACUUGAUAGUGUGUCUUCCUCAACAGAUCAUCGCAUCCUUCACAGGGCGGGCAGUCACAUCCAGCGGAUUUUAUUUAGGAGGGACUGUUUCAGUUGGAGAGAAAACAACAUGUGAGGGGAUGAAGUCCAAAGAUGAAGGCUGUCAAGUUGAUUGUCCCAUCUGAAGAGGCCAGUUGAAACUCAGUGGGAUUCUAGGUAACACUGUGCCAGAGGGGUGAGGUCAAGGGCUAACAUGCAUACCCUCAAGGCUAUGGAGCCAGCAGUAUCCCCUUUCAGUUUAACAGACUUCCUGACAAGGGUUGCCAUGGCAGCGGGUACUGGGAAAUCUGCUGACUGUCAGUAACAUUUGCCUGACCAUUAACAGAAUCAAUUCAGGUGACAUCUUUUUGAAGAUGGGCAGCCAGCAACAAACUAUCAGCCAGUAUUUUAGAUGACAGGAGUUAUUGGCUGCAACAGACCAUUCUCUCGCUUGCCAAUCCAGGAAAUGAAACAGCUGGCCUGUCCUGAAAAUGUAACAUGGGUCCAUGAUACAAGAAAUCAUAUAAUGUUUCGAAAUCAUAUUUUUUUAUACAAAGUUAUUAUGUUUCAUUAUUUAAGGAUUCCUUGGAAUUAUCAAAUUAUUACGAAAAGUACUUGGAUUUAAGAAUAGCUGGGCAGUUUGUGAGAUUCACAUUCAUAAUAUUGCUGAUGUUACAGAAAUUGUAGUUCAUGAAGAGUAUGUCACGCUGUCAUACUCAAUAAAAUUUCAUUUCCUGUCUGGAUCAACUUUUUUAUUUCGUUUUUUAUUCUCGUGUACCACGUUGUAAAAUAACAUUAUUGAUACUGAAAUAAGAUAUACUUAAAUACGUUUAAUACCCUUGCAUAUAAAAAUGUCAUUACCUGAACUCAGUUUGAAACAGGAUUAUGACCAUAUAUCUGCAUUUGUAUACGUCUCUCUUAAAGACUG